AACGAACGCUGGCGGCGUGUUUAAGACAUGCAAGUCGCACGGGAUCAGAUAUGUAGCAAUACUUGUCUGGUUUAGUGGCGCACGGGUGAGUAACACGUGAAUUACAUGCCCUAUAGUGGGGAAUAGCCCAGGGAAACUUGGAUUAAUACCCCAUGGUCUCGCAAGAGUAAAGGUGGCCGCAAGGCUGUCGCUAUAGGAUUGGUUCGCGCCCUAUCAGCUUGUUGGUGAGGUAACGGCUCACCAAGGCAAUGACGGGUACCUGGUCUGAGAGGACGAUCAGGCACACUGGAACUGAGACACGGUCCAGACACCUACGGGUGGCAGCAGUCGAGAAUAAUUCACAAUGGGGGCAACCCUGAUGGUGCAACGCCGCGUGGAGGAUGACGGUCUUCGGAUUGUAAACUCCUGUCAUCUGGGAGAAAGACCUGGGAGUUAAUAGCUCACAGGGUUGAUAGUACCAGAAGAGGAAGGGACGGCUAACUUCGUGCCAGCAGCCGCGGUAA
rnacentral:rRNA from 1 species